UUUAACAUGAGAGUUCGAUCCUGGCUCAGGAUGAACGCUGGCGGCGUGCUUAACACAUGCAAGUCGAGCGAAGCGGUUUCGAUGAAGUUUUCGGAUGGAAUUGAAAUUGACUUAGCGGCGGA
rnacentral:rRNA from 1 species